rnacentral:rRNA from 1 species
UACAGAGGUCCCAAGCGUUGUUCGGAUUCAUUGGGCGUAAAGGGUGCGUAGGCGGCGCGGUAAGUCGGGUGUGAAAUCUCGGGGCUUAACUCCGAAACUGCAUUCGAUACUGCCGUGCUUGAGGACUGGAGAGGAGACUGGAAUUUACGGUGUAGCGGUGAAAUGCGUAGAUAUCGGGAGGAACACCAGUGGCGAAGGCGACUUCCUGGCCUGUUCUUGACGCUGAGGCGCGAAAGCUAGGGGAGCAAACGGG